GUAAUUUGCUGGGGGAGCUGCGCACGGGCAGCUGAGAGUGGUCACCUACGGGCCAGACCCUUGGAACCUGAUGCAGUUAGCGCUGCCGGAGGAAAGCUAUGCAUUCUCGUA
rnacentral:ncRNA from 2 species